GGACCAUGAGGACAAUGGCUGCUUUCCGAGGGGGAUGAGAUGAUAUUGGGAAAGGCCAUCCUGGAGAGCAGAGCUGUGCGUGAGGGGAGCCUGGCUGCAGAGAACUUACACACCAUGGAAAAGAGAGGCCACGAUGGUAGAUGUCUACUUCUAGAAGCUUCGUUGAAUAAGACAGCAGGAGGGCUUUUGUUUUCAAGGUUCAGAAGGCUAAGCAAGUUACACAGAGGAUCUGUCUAGCAUCUCAAUGUCACCAACUCCUAAAAGUGCAUUUGGCCGUGGUUGCUCUGACCUUUCCAUUCACCUUGAUGAACUCAUGGAUUCUUUGGGAUGGUGGAUGUAGAAUGUCAACUUAAUAAGCCUCUGAUCCCCAUGGACUUGUCAGAUGUCAAUGCAGAUGUGCAAAGAAAGCUCCAUGCCCCAUGCCUGGUGGCUUCUUGACCAUCCCCAGAAGUCUUGUGGCCAUGGAGGACACCCUGGAGAAGGGCUGGUGUGGCAGGGGCAAAGGCUGCAGACACAGUGCACAGCGGGGCCUCUUCACAGGCAAGCAGCCUUGUUACUGAGGGGAAUAGGAGGACCUAUGAGACCCAAGUGCUCAGAUCACCUCUGGGAAGAAGAGCUUCCUUUGAGCUGAAGAAAGCCUGGCUCACACUCACUAAUGCCUGGGCUUUGCAAUGCCCAUCAUUGCUUUUCACAUUCCCUGAACAAGAAAAGGGUAAUUACAAAAGCCAAG